rnacentral:rRNA from 1 species
CCUACGGGCGGCAGCAGUGGGGAAUAUUGCACAAUGGGGGAAACCCUGAUGCAGCAACGCCGCGUGAGUGAAGAAGUAUUUCGGUAUGUAAAGCUCUAUCAGCAGGGAAGAGAAUGACGGUACCUGACUAAGAAGCCCCGGCUAACUACGUGCCAGCAGCCGCGGUAAUACGUAGGGGGCAAGCUUUAUCCGGCUUUACUGGGUGUAAAGGGAGCGUAGACGGCUGUACAAGGCUGAAGUGAAAGCCCGUGGCUCAACCGCGGAACUGCUUUGGAAACUGUAAAGCUGGAGGACUGGAGAGGCAGGCGGAAUUCCUAGUGUAGCGGUGAAAGGCGUAGAUAUUAGGAGGAACACCAGUGGCGAAGGCGGCCUACUGGACGGUGACUGACGCUGAGGCUCGAAAGCGUGGGGAGCAAACAGGAUUAGAUACCCGAGUAGUC